rnacentral:rRNA from 1 species
AACUAACGCUGGCGGCGUGCCUAACACAUGCAAGUCGUACGAGAAAGUUGGCUUCGGCUGAUGAGUAAAGUGGCGCACGGGUGAGUAACGCGUGGAUAAUCUGCCUUUUAGUUGGGAAUAACGUACCGAAAGGUGCGCUAAUACCGGAUAAUACUGCAUAACUACUGUUGUGUAGUCAAAGAAGGCCUCUGUUUACAAGCUUUUGCUGAAAGAUGAGUCCGCGUACCAUUAGCUAGUUGGUAGGGUAAUGGCCUACCAAGGCUACGAUGGUUAGCUGGUCUGAGAGGAUGAUCAGCCACACUGGAACUGAGACACGGUCCAGACUCCUACGGGAGGCAGCAGUGAGGAAUAUUGCGCAAUGGGGGCAACCCUGACGCAGCAACGCCGCGUGAGUGAGGAAGGUUUUCGGACCGUAAAGCUCUGUCGAGCGGGAAGAAAUGUAUCGUGGCUAAUAUCCAUGAUAUUUGACGGUACCGCUAAAGGAAGCAACCGGCUAACCG